CAGCCGCCGCGGUAAUACCGGCGACUCGAGUGGUGGCCGCUUUUAUUGGGCUUAAAGCGUUCGUAGCUGGGUUGUUAAGUCUCUUGGGAAAUCUGGCGGCUUAACCGUCAGGCGUCUAAGGGAUACUGGCAAUCUUGGAACCGGGAGAGGUGAGGGGUACUUCGGGGGUAGGAGUAAAAUCCUGUAAUCCUCGAGGGACCACCUGUGGCGAAGGCGCCUCACCAGAACGGCUUCGACAGUGAGGGACGAAAGCUGGGGGAGCAAACCGGAUUAGAUACCCGGGUAGUCCCAGCCGUAAACUAUGCGCGUUAGGUGUAUCGGUGACCACGAGUUACCGAGGUGCCGAAGGGAAACCGUGAAACGUGCCGCCUGGGAAGUACGGUCGCAAGGCUGAAACUUAAAGGAAUUGGCGGG
rnacentral:rRNA from 1 species